AUUGCUGGAUAGUGUAAGUAAUAGAUCAAGGUGGGCCUGUGAUUAUGGUGAAGUGACACUUGAUGACUUCAGUGACUAGGUCAUAAAAAUGGUUCGGAUUCCACAUGAGCCUCCUGGGGCAAUUGCCUUCAGAGUCCUGAGCUACCAUGUAAGAGGUCUGAAGCUGCUAUGCUAUACAGUAAUUCAUGCAGUGUAGAGAAGCCUCAUGUAGGUGCUUCAGCCAACCAUCCCAG
rnacentral:lncRNA from 1 species